CUCCAGGUCCUCCCGCCUCCCGGUUAGCGACGGAUCCCGGAACUUUGGGCAUGAGGCCCUGCCAUAUGUUUCUGAACAUUCCCCCCUCCCCCUCACGUUUCAGAGCCGUCCGGGCUCGGAGCUCCCUCACUUUCCAAGUAGGAAGCGGCGUGAAGCCGCAGCGGCAACUCACUCGCUCUCUCAGAGGUGGGCUUGGCGGGCGGGCUCCUCCCGGGCCGAGCCUCCGCCGUGCUUCGUGCCAGUGUCCACCCCGGCUGCUUCCGUCUCCGAGUCUCUGUUUCCGUCCCGGGGAGCGAAGACAGUGGUGUGGUUCUAAAGUCUCUGACCCCCAGGACUCUCUGCACGUGCCCUACGGCAGCCCCAACUUCACUGCACCCCGAAACCCGGCGCGCACGCCGCCAGCAGCCCGAGCAGCCCGGCAGACUUCAAAGGAUUCUAAGGAAGAAGCAAGUUGCCACUUGCUGCACUUCCCUCCACCAGUUUGGCAGGUUUUUCCUGCAGUUGCUGCUCAGUGACCCAUGGAGACCUGCAUGGCUCACAGACAUAGGACAAAUAACUCAGGUGGGGACUGGAGUCUUGAACCUGGUCCUUGUGUGUUGUAACAUAUGCUCUCAACCAGGUGUGCUGUAACUGGCCUCUGAAUACCCUUUAAUCUACAACCUCUCCAACAUCUGAAGUUUCCUGAUUUGUUGAUGUAAGUCAUUCCUUCAGGUGUGAGAUUAUAUCUCUAUUUAAUUUUAAUUUGCAUUUCUCUAAUGAUAAAUGAGC